AAAUAACGAUUCAAGAAGGCAAAAGAACCUCCCAUGCUCAGGGAUGGACGCAAGAUCAGGAACAAGGAUAAAGCCCCGGGUAUCAAUCUGAAAAACUCCAUUCUGAAAAUUGCCUGUGCAGCAUAAAAUGUCUUUAAUAGUUGGGCAUGGUUAAUAAAUAGAUUUGAUGUGUCUUUUAAGAUUGUUAUUAAUAUUUUAAGAUUGACAAUCUUAAAAUAUAUGCUUAAUAUGUACUAUCCAAAUUCAAAUUCACAUCGUAAAUCACUAUAAUUAUAAUUAGAUGGUAUAAAAGUAAUACUACGUUUUAAUAGUCGUCAAAGAUAUAUCGCAUCUACACCAACUAAAAUAGGCAGUGUAGAGCACAAAUUUACUUCUUCUGAAAUAAGGUUGUCUUAUACAAACCUACCCAAGAAAACUGAAUGUGUAGUCAGUAGCCCAAGAGCACAUGAGAGAGAUAUUGCGCCUUCAAAUCUAUCAAACAUUGGAGUUGCAGAGGAGAGCAACGGAUCGCCACGAAAUGUGAGAGCAACGAAUCGCCACUCAAGAUAACCACAUGUGGAAGCAAGUUAUUACCCAAAAAUACCAUGUAGACCCAAGCUUGUGGCUACCAGAAUGCCGACCCAAUGGUAGAGUCUAAGGCAUCUGGAACCCAAGGAGCGGAUCAAGAAUUGAUUUUGGUUAGACCCCUGGCUCGAUCAAACCCCUUUGAAAGACCUUAACCUAGGCCUUUAUCUCCUCGCUCUCCAUCAACAAGCUUCUAUUGAAGACCAUUUUCCCUUACAAAAGACUGCAAGGAGUCCUGGCCUUCGCAGACCACGCUCAGAUAUUGAAUGUCAGGAAUUCCCAAACCUCUCCACACUCGGUUCAAUUUUUCUCUCACCCUGGAGAAGACAUUUUAAUAUGGUACCUUGGUCCCUCGGGGAAAUUUUAAGUUGCUUCCUUUUAUUGCAAACUCAUAGAACCGCCAACAUUCCCCCUAGCCCCUUGCUCCAUUGUGGCCAAAGCAUGGAUCUCCAUUGCUCCUCCCAAGAUCCAAGCCUUCAGCUAGAUUGCUCUCUUUCAGAGAGCAUGAAUUAUUGACCAGCUGCAAAGAGAGGCUUGGCUUUACCUAAUCAACCGAGGAAACUAACCCUCACUUCUUUAUACAUUGUCCCUUAACCCAUUCCUUGUGGGGAGCUUUUCUUCAGCUCUUAAAAUGGUAAUGGAUGGCCCCAAAAAUAUUCCCCAUCGCUUUUCCUCUCUCCACCCCUACACCUGAGCCUCUUCCGGUAUCAUAUUGUGUGGAAGGCUUCAAUGGCAGCCCUCAUUUGGGAAAUUUGGAUAGAACAUAACAAUCGUAUCUUCUGAGGACAAUUUUCUACCAUUGAAGCCUUGUAUGAUAGAAUCAAAGUGGCAAUUAUCUUCUGGGCCACCAAUCACAAGCAGUUCAAAGGCUUCACCCCUUCAACCUUCAACCUUCCACUUACACUGGUACAAUAUCAUCUUCUUACCACAUUAGCGUAACUCAUGAGCCGGCUCCCUCCAAAGCGGGGCCACGUAAAGCUCAACUUUGAUGAUUAUUCCUUGGGCAACCCAAGACCAUCAAGUGUAGGUCUUUUUAGAGACUACAAAGGGUCCACUUUGGCCUCUUUCGCGAAAUCCAUUGGUUACUCAGAUUCCUAAUCAGCAGAAGCUAGCAUUGCUUGAGGGCCUCAAACUAUUUGACAACUCUUGG
rnacentral:lncRNA from 1 species